rnacentral:lncRNA from 1 species
UUCAAAUUGGAUAAUUGUAGCCAGCCCAUAAGUGAAUCUGAUGAUAUUAAUUCUGAGUCUUUGCCUGCUAAAGAUGAUGAUUACAAUUGUGAUUCUGAUGAUAACUCAGCAGAUAUAGAUGUUUCACAACCACAUGUAAAUGAAAUUUCUACAAAUGAACUUCUGAAAACUUUGAAAGGAAACUCAGACAAAAAUGUUGACACUGAUUUGAAGUCUGAUGCAUUCUCUAGAUUCUCAGUCAAAUAUUUCUCAAAAUACAAAAUACCUAAGUGCCUUGAAGACAUGGACUUAAUUGAAAGUUUGGAUGGUGCAAUUCCAAUUAUCCUACUCAACCUGCUGCACAUGAAUUCAGGAAUUGAACCAGAUCAUGAACCAGUUGAAGAAAAUAAUGAUGUUAAUCAAGCUGUGCAAAAAAUAACAAUUUCACCUCAUCUCCAAAGUAAAACAGUACUAGAUGAUGAUAAGUUGCCAAUUCCAAAUGAAGAAUUUAAUCCUGUGAAUAAGUCUACCAUUUUGAAUUCUUCAAAAGAGAUUAAACAUAUCAACAUUGAUGAAAUAAUGACAAAGUUGAACAAAACAGGUCAUGUUCCUAUUAAUCCACCAGAUGAAACAGAGAAAAAUUCUGCCUUGACUGCUCGAAACAAUCAAGUUUUCAUGAUCAACCGUCUUUUAAAAUCUGGAUCAAGAUUCUCUUUUAAAAUCUGGGAUUCUGAUGAUGACCUCCAUCAUGAAAAUGAUGAUUUCAAAAAAGAAAUUACACCUGCUCAUCUUGUAGAUUCAUAUCAAGUUAUUCCUGAUUCAUACUCCCCAAAUCCUGUUUUAAGAAAUAAGGUACUUGUGAAAUCACUCCAAGAAAGUGUCUCAAACUUUGCUGCUGCUGUUGAAAGCCCAAUAAUCUGUUCAGACAGUCCGGAUAAUAUGUACAUGGUGACACUUGAAAAUUCAACUUCUCCUAAUGCUUCUCUCAAUGAAAACAAAGAAAAUGAAAAAGGUUGUCACAUCAUAAAAGAUUCACCUGAUGUUGUUUUUAUUGGUGAAAAGAAAUUCUCUAAGAAAUGUGCUGAUAUUGGAAACAAAACCAACAUGAUGUACAAUAAAAUGAAUAGAAUUCUGUUGGAUUCUCAGAAACAAAACUUCAAAACCUUUGCUAGUCCAGAAAGAGUUUUGUUAUGCAAGAUGAAGAAUUUCAAUCCAAGUACUUCUGGAACAAAACCAAUUCAUCACGAUCUUAGAAGGGUAAUCAAUCCCGCAAAGUAUUGCACAGAUCCUUAUACUCCUCAAAGAUCAAACUUCACAGUCUCACAAUAUGAAAGACAAAUUUAUAAUGCUAUCUGCACUCUAUCAACAAGCAGAUAUCAAGAACGACAUGUAGUUGAAAUUGAUGGUGUUCACUGCAAAUUCAGUUCUUUUGGAGGAUCAUUUAAUUUUGGACAUGAAGUUUCUAAUUUUGUUGUCUCUGUGUUCUGCCGAUAUUUGUUUCAUUUAUCUCACCCCUCAAAAUCCAAAAAACAUUAUUCCUCUCUAUUGGAUUGUAAGUUUCUAAUUUCUGUUUUAUUAUAUUUAUAA